AAAAUCCAAACUAAUUAUAAUAUAAAAACAAAACCUUUUAAAUAAAAAAAAUGUUUCCAGUUUUUGGCCCUGAAAACAGCUGCCACUUUAUAUAAUGCUAAAAUUGAUUUCGACUUGUCAACAAAAUUUGUCCUAAAAAAAUCUAAAGCCCACGCAUCCCCACCCCAUUCCAAUAAAAAUGAAAUAAAUAGCUGCUGCCAAAUUCAUUUGAAAGGGUCUUCCCGAAUCGACUUGACGUACACAG
rnacentral:lncRNA from 1 species